GUAGGGGGCGAGCGUUGUCCGGAAUCAUUGGGCGUAAAGAGCUCGUAGGCGGCUCGGUAAGUCGGGUGUGAAACCCCCAGGCUCAACCUGGGGACGCCACCCGAUACUGCCGUGGCUAGAGUCCAGUAGGGGAGUGUGGAAUUCCCGGUGUAGCGGUGAAAUGCGCAGAUAUCGGGAGGAACACCAGCGGCGAAGGCGGCACUCUGGGCUGGAACUGACGCUGAGGAGCGAAAGCGUGGGUAGCAAACAGGAUUAGAUACCCUGGUAGUCCACGCCGUAAACGUUGGGCACUAGGUGUGGGGACCCUCCAACGGUCUCCGUGCCGUAGCUAACGCAUUAAGUGCCCCGCCUGGGGAGUACGGCCGCAAGGCUAAA
rnacentral:rRNA from 1 species